AUGGAGCCUGAAGUCAGCAGCAGUGUUUCGGCACACUGCUGGAGGUGGAGGAGCAAACGCUGCCUGUUGCUUAUCUCUGCUGACACCGGUUUUGUUUGCAAACUCAGCACGACGAGCCCUGCUGUGGGAAGAGCAGUGAAGUGCUGCCACCUGGAUGGGAACAGCCCUUCGGGCUACAAAGCCUCUCGCAAACAUCAAAAUAAACUUGUUUUGACUUACAGCCUGCUUCUAAAGGGCACGUAUUUGAUUUUGUGCCCGGGCUGGGGAUGCGGCUGCAGAGCUCGGGGGCCCUUGGAGGAGCGGGGUGUGAGGGAGAGGCUGGGCGUGAGGAGGGGCUGGGGCUGCUGCCCUCGCUCUGCCCCGCAAAACCCUCUGACAUUUAAGUGCCUUUUGGAUGCUUUAGAGCCAGAUCCAGGCAGACUGAGAGGUGGAGUAAGGCAGGACACAGAGCAUCCCAGCGCAUCUGCUGGGCGUGCGCACCCUUUGAGCCUUCCUUGCAAAUUGGGGGUGGUGGAAUUAAGCAGAGGGUUGGAUAUGCCAGGUCCUGCUCAGCGGCUCUCAACCAAAGUUGCAUCCUUGCCCAUCUCCUUGAUAGAGGCACUGGUGUUGGAGCUCCAUGCGGAAAGCAGCACAUGGGUAUGGGGCAGCAGUGCUGGGGUCUUUCCCUGGGGGGAGCAGCCCAUUGCUGAGCCAGGGCAGCCACCUGCUGGUACCCACUGCCUGCAUCCCUGCCUGCAUCCCUGCCCGUAUCCCUGCUCCCAUCCCCUGAAAGUACAUCUGAGGCUGCAGAAUGCACCAGCAUCAUCCAUACCUGCCUCAUCCGUACCCGCAUCAGCGCUCUGCAUCCACGCCUGCAGCGUCGCUCUUGUACCCACUCCCGCAGCAUCCACCUGGCCCUGGGAGCUUGUGGCGUGGGUGGGGGUCUCGCAGCCGGGAGAGCCGGCACAAAAAGAAGCUCCUGGCUGUCUGAAUGAAGGGGCAAUUUCUGUCAUGCUUAUUUUCUCGUUUAUUAUUUAG
rnacentral:lncRNA from 1 species